rnacentral:rRNA from 1 species
GAUGAACGCUAGCUACAGGCUUAACACAUGCAAGUCGAGGGGAAACGCUGAGAGAGCUUGCUCUCUUAGGCGUCGACCGGCGCACGGGUGAGUAACGCGUAUCCAACCUACCCAUUACAGGGGGAUAACCUUGCGAAAGUAAGACUAAUACCCCAUGGCAUUUUAUGGUGGCAUCAUUAUAGGAUUAAAGAUUUAUUGGUAAUGGCUGGGGAUGCGUCUGAUUAGCUUGUUGGCGGGGUAACGGCCCACCAAGGCAACGAUCAGUAGGGGUUCUGAGAGGAAGGUCCCCCACAUUGGAACUGAGACACGGUCCAAACUCCUACGGGAGGCAGCAGUGAGGAAUAUUGGUCAAUGGGCGAGAGCUUGAACCAGCCAAGUAGCGUGCAGGAUGACGGCCCUAUGGGUUGUAAACUGCUUUUAUAGGGGAAUAAAGUGAGCUACGUGUAGUUUAUUGCAUGUACCCUAUGAAUAAGGACCGGCUAAUUCCGUG